GCGGGUGUGGCGUAUGGUACACGGCUGUCUUUCAUGAGCUGUUUCUUGCUGUCCCUUGUGAGAUUGUAGCAGAACCGGGUUCGAUUCCUGGCAUCCGCA